AUUUGAAAUUCCCUCUCAAAAUUUCGGAGCCUCUUAAAUUUUGCCCCUAAUCCCUUCUACGUGUCUCAUGUCCCUCUCUCUCCCUCUCUCUCUCUCCCACACGACUGCUUUCUCUCAUUCCUCCUCCCUCACGGACGAUUUUGUUGCUCCCAUUCCACCAUUGUACCGCCUAAAAUCCUAAGUCGACGCCGCCGAUUCACGAACUUGGACUAUUUCAUCCUCACCAGCAAUCUCUACCUCACACACUUUCACCGCCCUGUAAUCACUACCGCACCAUGCCACCAUUGGCACUGUCUCUCUGAAUACAGCGGAACCCCCACAGUCCCCACAUUCGCACGGCCCAUCGCUACCGCCAGCCAAUCCCACCGGUCUAAGAUUUUGAAGAUUGUAAGAGCCUCAAUGGAGUUGUUUCGUGGUGGUUCUCUUCCUCUACUGAGAAAGUGCCCCAAUGAAAUUUGCUGGUACCAAAAGAGUACUGAGCUCCUGAUCAGGAAGCUUCCAUUGAAAAGGCUUGUCCGUGAAAUUGCUCAGGACUUCAAGGUUAAGCUUGAAUGACUGCAGUGACUAUAGAAGAUGAAACCAAGAGCAUACACACCCAAUUGAAGAGAAUGAGAUUCAGAUUAAGAGCGAGUCUGCUUCAGGUACUUUUUGUAUUCCUAUUAAUGAAUGCUUGAUUAGAUGAUGCUUUUGUUUCUAAUUGCCUUUCUUUGUGAUACACACUUAAUUUUUUUUAUAGAUGAAUGUGUAUCCGUUGGUUAAAGCUUCCUCUUCAUUGAAUAUGCCUUUGCAUUAUCUGGACAAAUUUGAUGUGUAAUUUUCUAACUAUAGGCUAUAGCUGGAUUAAUGGGCCCAAAGCCAACACUACAACAGACUUAUUUUGUGUUGAGUUAGGGUCUUAAUCAUUUCUGAUAAUGGCUGUGUUUUUUUUUUUAUUGAAUUUUUUGUUAUUGGAAUCUUGGAAUGAACUUGCUCCAAUUAAAAAUAUUAUGAAAUCUUAAAUUUGACAGCAGUAGAGAACAAAAAAAAAACUGAGACAUGAGUACUGUCUCUUUUUGAAUAUUAGUCUCUUAGUGAAUAUUGGAGGGUGAGUAGAGAGUACCAUCUUCGUUCAAUAGAAAAGAGACCAGCUGCAUGCAAUAUAGCUUCUUGGCAAAGUUGUUAAAAUCGGGAUCCUAUGUGGGAUCGUUGGAAGAGACUAGUGGAUCAGAUGGUAAAAUCGGGUUGAGGAUCGUAAGAUUCUACUUUCAAUGUACAAUAAAAUGAAAAAUUAUCGAUAAUGAUAAUAUAUGUUAUGUAAUAUUAAAAAUAUUAAAGAAAAAUGAUAAAUUUGAUAUAAUGUUUCUUUUAUGUUAACAUCAAUUAGAAGAGACAUUUGAAAAAAGUGUUUAUAGUCAAAUUUUUUAUAUAGAUAUACACAUAUAUCUAUGCGAUUCUAGU